CCUACGGGGGCUGCAGUAGGGAAUCUUCCGCAAUGGACGAAAGUCUGACGGAGCAACGCCGCGUGAGCGAAGAAGGUCUUCGGAUCGUAAAGCUCUGUUGUUAGGGAAGAACAAGUACGGGAGGAAAUGACCGUACCUUGACGGUACCUAACGAGGAAGCCACGGCUAACUACGUGCCAGCAGCCGCGGUAAUACGUAGGUGGCAAGCGUUGUCCGGAAUUAUUGGGCGUAAAGCGCGCGCCGGCGGUCUUUUAAGUUUGUUUUGAAAUCUUGCGGCUCAACCGCAAGCGGUCAAUGGAAACUAGGACACUUAUGUCCAAAAGAGGAAGGCGGAAUUCCACGUGUAGCGGUGAAAUGCGUAGAGAUGUGGACGAACCACAGUGGCGAAGGCGGCUUUCUGGUCUGUAACUGACGCUGAGGCACGAAAGCGUGGGGAGCAAACAGGAUUAGAUACCCUUGUAGUC
rnacentral:rRNA from 1 species